rnacentral:tRNA from 1 species
GGGCGAUUAGCUCAGGGGUAGAGCGCUGCCUUCACACGGCAGAGGUCGUGGGUUCGAACCCAGUAUUCGUGUA